rnacentral:rRNA from 1 species
AAUAGAUACCCCGGUAGUCCACGCCGUAAACGAUGUCGACUAGCCGUUGGGGACCUUCGUGUCCUUGGUGGCGUAGCUAACGCGCUAAGUCGACCGCCUGGGGAGUACGGUCGCAAGAUUAAAACUCAAAUGAAUUGACGGGGGCCCGCACAAGCGGUGGAGCAUGUGGUUUAAUUCGACGCAACGCGAAGAACCUUACCAGGUCUUGACAUCCAGAGAACUUUCCAGAGAUGGAUUGGUGCCUUCGGGAACUCUGAGACAGGUGCUGCAUGGCUGUCGUCAGCUCGUGUCGUGAGAUGUUGGGUUAAGUCCCGUAACGAGCGCAACCCUUAUCCUUAUUUGCCAGCACUUCGGGUGGGAACUUUAAGGAGACUGCCGGUGACAAACCGGAGGAAGGUGGGGAUGGACGUCAAGUCAUCAUGGCCCUUACGACCUGGGCUACACACGUGCUACAAUGGAACGUACAGAGGGCUGCAACCCCGCGAGGGUGAGCUAAUCCCAGAAAACGUUUCGUAGUCCGGAUUGGAGUCUGCACUCGACUCCA